CCUACGGGAGGCAGCAGUGAGGAAUAUUGGUCAAUGGACGAGAGUCUGAACCAGCCAAGUAGCGUGAAGGAUGACUGCCCUAUGGGUUGUAAACUUCUUUUAUAUGGGAAUAAAACGUUCCACGUGUGGGAUUUUGUAUGUACCAUAUGAAUAAGGAUCGGCUAACUCCGUGCCAGCAGCCGCGGUAAUACGGAGGAUCCGAGCGUUAUCCGGAUUUAUUGGGUUUAAAGGGAGCGUAGGUGGAUUGUUAAGUCAGUUGUGAAAGUUUGCGGCUCAACCGUAAAAUUGCAGUUGAAACUGGCAGUCUUGAGUACAGUAGAGGUGGGCGGAAUUCGUGGUGUAGCGGUGAAAUGCUUAGAUAUCACGAAGUACUCCGAUUGCGAAGGCAGUUCACUGGACUGCAACUGACACUGAGGCUCGAAAGUGUGGGUAUCAAACAGGAUUAGAUACCCCUGUAGUC
rnacentral:rRNA from 1 species